rnacentral:lncRNA from 1 species
AAGCUCAAAGAUGAAGACGGGCACCAGCACUGAGGCUCUGCUGACCGCUUGUCUCUAAUUCUUGCCUGACACAGACAUUCCCUGCCCAGGGAAGUGUUUGAUUUAUGUUGAGGUUUGAGUGUCGGGAUUUUGCUGACAGGUAGGUUCCCGGCAGCGCUGGUGCUGAUUGGCUAUGGGUACAGGUGCCGGCGACAGCAGGUAUGCCUCAACAGGUGCAGCUGUUAACUCUUGGCCUGCCGCGUUGGGGGCGGAGCCAAGGGGGCCGGCUGGGUGGAGCUGGCCAAUUCCUUCCUAGGUGAGGGGGUGGGAGGUGGAGAAGAGGGAGGAGAGAGGGAGGGGAAAAAAAUGUUGGAGAGAAGAUAGAGGAAAAGUACAGAGACAGAUACUUGGCCAAAGGUCGAUUUCUGUUUCUAGUUAGUAUCCUGGAUACUUGGGAACAUCCCCUCAAUUCCUUUGCCCCUUCCUCUACCCAGCAUCAAUACUUCAGUCACUGGGGAAUUCUCAGAGAGCUGAUCUCCCCGCCCCACCCCCACCGUAUUGGGGGGGGGGGGGGAGUCCUGUGUGUAAAUUCCCUUUGUUUUUCAGAGCUUUCCCCUUAAGAUAACAGUAUGUUAUUUUUGAAUAAUCUUACAGUUAUUCAAGUGAGUUCUUUUGAUUCUCACAGUAACCCACCGUGGCUGAUAUUAUUACGUGGCUGAUAUUAUUACGGCACCCCCUUCCUUCCCAACACACUUAACAGAUGUUAUUGGUGGCAGGAGAGCCAUUUGGUGCCAGCUGUAACUGCAAAGCUCACUGCGGCCCAAGGGAUGGCACACUGGUCUGCCGCCUCCUGGAAGGCUGGGAGUUUCUGUCAGCUGUGUUGCAACUCACAGUGCUUUGGAUGGGAAGAAUCAUUAUGGGGUCUAAAACUGUCCUCAAAGCGUCCCUUUAAAAAAGCCAAGAGAAGGUUUGAAUACCUGGAAAACAAGCAGGCAAGUGUUGUUUGUUUGUUUGUUUGUUUGUUUCACUUACCAAGUGAUAAAGAUGAAAGAAAAUGCCAAACCCCAGUGUUGUUAAGGGUGAGGGAACAGGCUCUCUCCUUGCUGGAGGGAAUGUGAAUCAGUCCAAACGUGGGCUUUAGAUUUUAGCUCAUUUUGGAUCUAGCAGUUUCACUCAUAAGAAUUUAGUCUAAGCAAAGUAAUCUCUGUGGUGCAAAGAGUUAUCUGCAAGGUUAUGCAUCAGAGCACCGUUUAUAAUCCUGAAAAAUUAGAGUUAAUAUACAUACCCUUCAACAGAAGCUCAGUGACGAAUAAGAUACCCGAAUGUAGUUGUACACUGAGCCAGUUUGAAAGGAGGCCCGUAAAGUUAUUCACUGAGUU